AGCCUUCUGUAUUCGUGCUGCGAUUUCGUCACACACCAGACCACAAGGGCUGAUGAGACUUCCAAGAUAAGUGAAGUG
rnacentral:pre_miRNA from 1 species